UCGGGAAUUUUGGGCAAUGGGCGAAAGCCUGACCCAGCAACGCCGCGUGUGUGAAGAAGGCCUGCGGGUUGUAAAGCACUUUAGUUGGGGGAGGAAAGGUAUGUACUGCAUAAGUGCAUGCUGUGACGUUACCCAAAGAAUAAGCACCGGCAAACUCUGUGCCAGCAGCCGCGGUAAUACAGAGGGUGCAAGCGUUAAUCGGAAUUACUGGGCGUAAAGCGCGCGUAGGUGGUUUGUUAAGUUGGAUGUGAAAGCCCCGGGCUCAACCUGGGAACUGCAUCCAAAACUGGCAAGCUAGAGUACGGUAGAGGGUGGUGGAAUUUCCUGUGUAGCGGUGAAAUGCGUAGAUAUAGGAAGGAACACCAGUGGCGAAGGCGACCACCUGGACUGAUACUGACACUGAGGUGCGAAAGCGUGGGGAGCAAACAGGAUUAGAUACCCCCGUAGUCCCUGAGCGGGCUGGCAAGGCGCAU
rnacentral:rRNA from 1 species